GGCGUUGGAGCACCACCACCACCACCGCCGGCGCCCGCCAUGAGGAACGGCUUCCAGGAGGCGUGCGACGAUGAGUGGGAAAGCAGAUUUUCUUUCCAUCCUAUAUCUGACCUACCACCUCCAGAGCCAUAUGUACCUGUGAACAAAAGUUAUCCAAGUAAAUUAGCAAGAAAUGAAAGCAGAGGUGGCUCUGGCCGAAAAGAAAGAGGUGCUCCCCCUCUUCCGCCUAUACCAAGGUGAAAUGGGUUCUGGCCCAACCCUGGGCACCUUCUGUUUGAAAGUUUCCUUCGAGUCAGUUUUCCUGUCCACAUCAUUGGAAAGUAGCCUAUCUUGCUUUAUUUCUACCUUUGGCUUGUCAGCUGGAAUGAACUUCAUUGUCUAUUACAGAAGUAAUAGACACAGCUUAUGAACUAUAGUUGCUUAAAGCUACCAAAUUUAUUUGCUUAUAUUGCAGGC